CCACAAAUACUAAUAGAGUUCCAAAUACGUUGCCUCCAUGGCCGUUACACAUUAUAUGGAAACCUUGCACCCCUUUAAAUACACAUGAUGUCACAUGAUUUAUGCAUAUGGUACAAAUAGGUAAAAUGUAAAGCGAGUUUAAGACCCAUAAAUAAAUGGUGAGUUUCAAGAUUCAUUCUUCUGAUUCUACCUGGCAUCAACGCCAUGGUCAUCCAUCGAUGAAGCCCUCAUUGACAUGAUGAUCGGCUGUAGAUUCGCAGUGUGUACCAAUGCCUUUUUCAGUCAGUCUGAGGAAAAAUAAGAGGGGUCAAUGCUAAUAUCACUAAGUGAGGUCUUUAGCCCUGAGUCAAUCUAGGGUACAGAUAAUCAUAUAACAAAUAACUCAUCACGUAACACAUAAGGCUUCCUAUAACUCUAAUAAUUUAUUUUGUAUUUUAGUCUGGAUUCCGACACACGUAUGUUGGACGACUCCCAGGCAAUCAGGUAGCAGAGCCGGCACCUAUUCAGGGCCGUAAACACGUAGCAGAGGGAAUACCUAUUACGGCCCAUAUACUCGUAGUAGUUAGUACCCAUUAAGGGCCAUAUACUCGUAGCAGAAGUGCAAUAUGCACACACGUAGAUCGCUACAUAUGAGCCCUGUUCUAGGUGAUCAAACAUUUACCCAUUUAUUUCCCAUAGAAUAAUUGUCUAAGUUAUUGGUUCAACAUGUACCGAUAGGGUCACAACAUAAGGAUAUCAUGCCAAAAAUAAUAUUAGCAAGACAAAAAAACAUAUAUCAUUCCAUAUCCAUCAUAAGUCACAGAUACAGUAAGCAUAAUGAAAUAAAUGCAUAGGGCCACACUCCUUGCAUGCAUAUUGCAUGUAAAAUUAGAAAUAGACACAUAAAGGAACGUCUUACCCGGUCAGAUAUGCAGGAGACACUCACCAGGAAUGAUUCUUUACAACACCGGUAUUAUCUGCUGAGUAGAACCCCAAUUCUGAAAGAGUUCCUCCAACUGUAUUUUAAUGUUUGUCUCACCUAACCACUC
rnacentral:lncRNA from 1 species